rnacentral:misc_RNA from 1 species
GAUGAAGAACGCAGCGAAAUGCGAUACGUAAUGUGAAUUGCAGAAUUCAGUGAAUCAUCGAGUCUUUGAACGCACAUUGCGCCCCCUGGUAUUCCGGGGGGCAUGCCUGUCCGAGCGUCAUUACUGCCCUCAAGCACGGCUUGUGUGUUGGGCCUCCGUCCUCCUCCCGGGGGACGGGCCCGAAAGGCAGCGGCGGCACCGCGUCCGGUCCUCGAGCGUAUGGGGCUUCGUCACACGCUCUUGUAGGCCCGGCCGGCGCUUGCCGACACAUCAAUCUUUUUCCAGGUUGACCUCGGAUCAGGUAGGGAUACCCGCUGAACUUAAGCAUAUCAAUAAGCGGAGGA